GUGGGGAAUAUUGGACAAUGGGCGAAAGCCUGAUCCAGCCAUGCCGCGUGUGUGAAGAAGGUCUUCGGAUUGUAAAGCACUUUAAGUUGGGAGGAAGGGCAGUAAGUUAAUACCUUGCUGUUUUGACGUUACCGACAGAAUAAGCACCGGCUAACUUCGUGCCAGCAGCCGCGGUAAUACGAAGGGUGCAAGCGUUAAUCGGAAUUACUGGGCGUAAAGCGCGCGUAGGUGGUUUUGUAAGUUGGAGGUGAAAUCCCCGGGCUCAACCUGGGAACUGCCUCCAAAACUGCAUGACUAGAGUACGGUAGAGGGUAGGGGAAUUUCCUGUGUAGCGGUGAAAUGCGUAGAUAUAGGAAGGAACACCAGUGGCGAAGGCGACUACCUGGACUGAUACUGACACUGAGGUGCGAAAGCGUGGGGAGCAAACAGGAUUAGAAACCCUUGUAGUCC
rnacentral:rRNA from 1 species